AGUGGAACAACUGGGUCAAAUGGUGGUUCCAUUCCUAGUAUUUGAGGAAUAUCCAUACUGCUUUCCAGAAGGGUUGCACAAAUUUGCAGUCCCAUCAGUAAU
rnacentral:pre_miRNA from 1 species